GACGAACGCUGGCGGCGUGCUUAACACAUGCAAGUCGAACGGAAAGGCCCUGCUUUUGUGGGGUGCUCGAGUGGCGAACGGGUGAGUAACACGUGAGUAACCUGCCCUUGACUUUGGGAUAACUUCAGGAAACUGGGGCUAAUACCGGAUAGGAGCUCCUGCUGCAUGGUGGGGGUUGGAAAGUUUCGGCGGUUGGGGAUGGACUCGCGGCUUAUCAGCUUGUUUGUGGGGUAGUGGCUUACCAAGGCUUUGACGGGUAGCCGGCCUGAGAGGGUGACCGGCCACAUUGGGACUGAGGUACGGACCAGACUGCUACGGGCGGCAGCAGGGGGGAAUAUUGCACAAUGGGCGGACGCCUGAGACAGCAGCGCUGCGUGCGGGAUGCCGGCCUUCGGGUUGUAAACCGCUUUCGCCUGUGACGAAGCGUGAGUGACGGUAAUGGGUAAAGAAGCACCGGCUAACUACGUG
rnacentral:rRNA from 1 species